rnacentral:rRNA from 1 species
GACGUAGGGCGCGAGCGUUGUCCGGAUUUAUUGGGCGUAAAGAGCUCGUAGGCGGCUCGUUGCGUCGGCUGUGAAAACCCGCAGCUCAACUGUGGGCUUGCAGCUGAUACGGGCAGGCUAGAGUUCGGUAGGGGAGACUGGAAUUCCUGGUGUAGCGGUGAAAUGCGCAGAUAUCAGGAGGAACACCGGUGGCGAAGGCGGGUCUCUGGGCCGAUACUGACGCUGAGGAGCGAAAGCGUGGGGAGCGAACAGG